CCCACGUAUAACUAACUCCUGACUCCCCCAAAACUUAACUACUAACAGCCUGCUAUGGACAGGAAGCCUUACCGAUAAUGUAAACUCUUGGUUAAUAUGUGU